rnacentral:rRNA from 1 species
AUUGAACGCUGGCGGCAGGCUUAACACAUGCAAGUCGAGCGAGCGGCGGACGGGUGAGUAAUGUCUGGGAAACUGCCUGAUGGAGGGGGCUAACUACUGGAAACGGUAGCUAAUACCGCAUACCAUCAGAUGUGCCCAGAUGGGAUUAGCUAGUAGGUGGGGUAAUGGCUCACCUAGGCGACGAUACCUAGCUGGUCGGAGAGGAUGACCAGACACACGGGGACGUAGAAACGGUCCAGACUCCUACGGGAGGCAGCCGUGGGGAAUAUUGCACAAUGGGCGCAAGCCUGAUGCAGCCAGGCCGCGUGUGUGACGAAGGCCUUCGGGUUGUAAAGCACUUUCAGCGAGGAGGCGUUACUCGCAGAAGAAGCACCGGCUAACUCCGUGCCAGCAGCCGCGGUAAUUC